rnacentral:rRNA from 1 species
AUUGAACGCUGGCGGCAGGCCUAACACAUGCAAGUCGAAUGGUAACAGGAAACAGCUUGCUGUUUCGCUGACGAGUGGCGGACGGGUGAGUAAUGUCUGGGAAACUGCCUGAUGGAGGGGGAUAACUACUGGAAACGGUAGCUAAUACCGCAUAACGUCGCAAGACCAAAGAGGGGGACCUUCGGGCCUCUUGCCAUCAGAUGUGCCCAGAUGGGAUUAGCUAGUAGGUGGGGUAACGGCUCACCUAGGCGACGAUCCCUAGCUGGUCUGAGAGGAUGACCAGCCACACUGGAACUGAGACACGGUCCAGACUCCUUCGGGAGGCAGCAGUGGGGAAUAUUGCACAAUGGGCGCAAGCCUGAUGCAGCCAUGCCGCGUGUAUGAAGAGGGCCUUCGGGUUGUAAAGUACUUUCAGCGGGGAGGAAGGGAGUAAAGUUAAUACCUUUGCUCAUUGACGUUACCCGCAGAAGAAGCACCGGCUAACUCCGUG